rnacentral:rRNA from 1 species
AAACUGGAGAGUUUGAUCCUGGCUCAGAGCGAACGUUUGCGGCGGGCCUAACACAUGCAAGUCGAACGGGCUGUCCCCUCGGGGGCAGUCAGUGGCGCACGGGUGCGUAACACGUAGGUAAUCAACCCUCGAGUUCGGGAUAACACUUCGAAAGGAGUGCUAAUACCGGAUACGACGGGCAGCUCCUCGGAGCUGCACGGGAAAGACCCGCAAGGGUUGCCCGAGGACGAGCCUGCGGCCCAUCAGCUAGUUGGCGAGGUAAAAGCUCACCAAGGCUAAGACGGGUAGCUGGUCUGAGAGGAUGAUCAGUCACACUGGAACUGAGACACGGUCCAGACUCCUACGGGAGGCAGCAGUGGGGAAUAUUGCGCAAUGGGCGAAAGCCUGACGCAGCCACGCCGCGUGAGCGAUGAAGGCCCGAGGGUCGUAAAGCUCUGUCGGGAGGGAAGAAGUUCUGACGGUACCUCCCAAGAAAGCACCGGCUAACUCCGUGCCA